UACGAAGGGGGCUAGCGUUGUUCGGAUUUACUGGGCGUAAAGCGCACGUAGGCGGAUCUUUAAGUCAGGGGUGAAAUCCCGAGGCUCAACCUCGGAACUGCCUUUGAUACUGGAGAUCUUGAGUCCGGAAGAGGUGAGUGGAACUGCGAGUGUAGAGGUGAAAUUCGUAGAUAUUCGCAAGAACACCAGUGGCGAAGGCGGCUCACUGGUCCGGUACUGACGCUGAGGUGCGAAAGCGUGGGGAGCAAACAGG
rnacentral:rRNA from 1 species